AGUGAACGCUGGCGGUAGGCCUAACACAUGCAAGUCGAACGGCAGCACAGUAAGAGCUUGCUCUUACGGGUGGCGAGUGGCGGACGGGUGAGGAAUACAUCGGAAUCUACUUUUUCGUGGGGGAUAACGUCGGGAAACUUACGCUAAUCCCGCAUACGACCUACGGGUGAAAGCUGGGGAUCUUCGGACCUUGCGCGAUUGAAUGAGCCGAUGUCGGAUUAGCUAGUUGGCGGGGUAAAGGCCCACCAAGGCGACGAUCCGUAGCUGGUCUGAGAGGAUGAUCAGCCACACUGGAACUGAGACACGGUCCAGACUCCUACGGGAGGCAGCAGUGGGGAAUAUUGGACAAUGGGCGCAAGCCUGAUCCAGCCAUACCGCGUGAGUGAAGAAGGCCUUCGGGUUGUAAAGCCCUUUUGUUGGGAAAGAAAAGCAGCAGGUUAAUACCCCGCUGUUCUGACGGUACCCGAAGAAUAAGCACCGGCUAACUUCGUG
rnacentral:rRNA from 1 species